CUCUCUCUCUCUCUCUCUCUAGCUGUUUUCGCUCCACUAUGUCCCCUGGUUUACUGAAAUCUCUGAUAAUUCUCGCAAUCUUGGCAAUCCUAAGGCUGAGUUUCGCCUUUCAACUGGAUGACACGCUCACUUAUGUCUGGCCGCUGCCAUCGGAGUUCAGUUCCGGCGAUCACACCCUAUCCGUUGACCCUGCCCUUUCGCUUGUUGUCAGCGGCGACGGAGGCAAUUCCUCAAUCAUCAAAGAUGCGUUUGACAGAUACAAGAGGAUUAUCUUCAAG
rnacentral:misc_RNA from 1 species